rnacentral:piRNA from 2 species
UAUUGGCUGAUUUCUUGCUGAGUGCCCUC